rnacentral:rRNA from 1 species
AAGCUCGUAGUUGAAUUUCGGGAUCAAUUUAUUGGUCGUGCAAUAGUACGUACUGGUAUUAUUGAUUCCUACCUUCUGACGAACCAUGAUGUCAUUAAUUUGGUGUUAUGGGGAAUCAGGACUGUUACUUUGAAAAAAUUAGAGUGUUUAAAGCAGGCUCACGCUUGAAUGCAUUAGCAUGGAAUAACGAAAUAGGACGUUUGAUUCUAUUUUGUUGGUUUCUAGGAUCGACGUAAUGAUUAAUAGGGAUAGUUGGG